ACAUCAUACAUUCCAAGUAAUGCAGCACACUACUCUGGACCACGGUGACCUUUUAAAUAUUCUGCAAAUUGAUUUCCAGGCCAUUCCCACUCUCCCUUGUUUAUAGCCUUGGUAACCCAGAAGAAAAUGAGACUGGCCAGCUGUGAUUCCUGCAUUUCUGUUCUCAUCAGUGCUCAGAAUUACAUUUCUUUCUCUCCCAAAGGCUUCAUGACAACGCUUACUGUUGAUCUAGAGAGCAGCAGCACCAAGAAUCUUCAAUAAGGACAAGUUUAAGAGCUAUAAGCAGUUGUGUGGACUCCUUAGAGCCUUCUGCCUGAGAUGAUGCUGCCAGAGGGCCCUUGCCAGAUAUUGCCACCUUGAUAUUAGACUUCCCAUCCUCCAAAACUAUACACUACUGCUCUAGUAAAUGAAAGAAGCUCCAUGUGGCUGAAAAUCAAAGUGUGAGGAGGAUGUAGCGAGUGAGGGUAGUGUCACUAGCAGAGCAAUCUCCAGUUCAUAUGGGUGGUGACAGAAGAGGGAUCCUGCAGCAUCAAGGGCUCCUUUGCAAUGAUUUCUGUCUAGAUGGCAAUCAUGAGGGGCCUUGUUUUUCUGCUUUGUGUGUGAGUGGGAACGUGUGUCAGCAUCAACCUUGCAUUUAUCAACAACAUCCUCAUUUUUGUUUGGCGAGGUGGUGAGGGAUCCAUGCAGGAGGAAAUGAAGUGACUGCAUUUAUCUCAAUGUUCCCAAGGGUCAGGUGUUAUCAAAAGGUCUCAUCAAAUUAUUUUAUGUAGAAGAGCACCCAAAUGUUAUUUCUUGCUGUUCCUCUUCUUUUCCUCAAGAGAAAGAAGGUUGAAAACUGAAAAUGAUGAAGUUGAAGAAUGAAGUCAAUGAGUGUUAAGAAGAGAUUCAUUUAUCCUUGAAAAAUGAAAAAGUAGAGUGCUGGUGGUGAUCAUGUCUUCCCUUCACCCAUGGGGACUUUUCAUUUAUCGCUGCCACUCCAGCAUGUUCACUAUUCUCUGUAGCAUGAAAAUCUGAUAAAGCUCAUGAGGGGAGAGAAAACUUAACUUCAAUAUUUUCCUGCUGAGCCUGAGAGUGCUUUGUAUACCCUAGCAAGAUGAAAAUCUUAGCUGCAGCAUCAGGAAGAGGACACCUCACUUUAUCCUACAUUCCUAUCUCAGUCAGGAAAGUAGCUCUAGAGAAGGAACUAAGAAGUCAAGGCCUUUUGUGAAGUUGCUCUGUUAUCUCUGUGGCCCCAAAGACCAAAAUGAUGGAGAAAAUGAAACCAGGAUGAUUUCUGACAUCUGCUUCCACUCCACCUUCUUUAACCACUUCAUCCACAUCUCUCUUAGCUUCUCACAUAAGUCUCACCUGGAAUCAUCUUAUUUACACCAAUAAAUUUACCUACCACCUGCCUGUUGAUUGCCAAA